rnacentral:rRNA from 1 species
GGANGGUCCGGGCGUUAUCCGGAUNUAUNGGGUNUAAAGGGAGCGUAGGCGGAUNNUUAAGUCAGUNGUGAAAGUUCACGGCCCAACCGUGAAAUNGCAGUUGAAACUGAAAGUCUUGAGUGCACGCAGGGAUGCUGGAAUUCGUGGUGUAGCGGUGAAAUGCUUAGAUAUCACGAAGAACUCCGAUCGCGAAGGCAUGUGUCCGGAGUGCAACUGACGCUGAGGCUCGAAAGUGUGGGUAUCAAACAGGAUUAGAUACCCUGGUAGUCCACACAGUAAACGAUGAAUACUCGCAGUUGGCGAUAUACGGUCAGCUGCCAAGUGAAAACAAUAAGUAUUCCACCUGGGGAGU